ensembl:rRNA 5S_rRNA 5S ribosomal RNA
GUCUGUGUCCAUACCACUCUGAAUGCAACCGAUCUCCUCUGAUCUCAGAAGCUAAGCAGAGUUGGGCCUGGUUAGUACUUGGAGAAAUAAUAUUCCGGUCCUCCAAGUU